rnacentral:rRNA from 1 species
UACGUAGGGGGCAAGCGUUGUCCGGAUUUAUUGGGCGUAAAGAGUGUGUAGGCGGUGCUCUAAGUCUGUUGUGAAAUCUCCCGGCUUAACCGGGAGGGUGCGGCGGAAACUGGAGUGCUUGAGGGUGGGAGAGGUAAGCGGAAUUCCUGGUGUAGCGGUGAAAUGCGUAGAUAUCAGGAGGAACACCUGUGGUGUAGACAGCUUACUGGACCACUUCUGACGCUGAGACACGAAAGCGUGGGUAGCAAACAGG